UUGUGUGUGCACACUACCUUGAGAAUGCCUGAUCUCAUCAGAUCUCAGGAGCUAAGCAGUGUUGGGCCUGUUUACUACUGGAUUGGAGACUAUUGGGAAUUAGGUGCCACAGU
rnacentral:rRNA from 1 species